AUUGAACACUGGCGGCAUGCUUUACACAUGCAAGUCGAACGGUAGACCCUUUCGGGGGUUGAGAGUGGCGAACGGGUGAGUAAUGCAUCGGAACGUGCCUAGUCGUGGGGGAUAACGUAGCGAAAGUUACGCUAAUACCGCAUACGCACUGAGGUGGAAAGCGAGGGACCGUAAGGCCUCGCGCGAUUGGAGCGGCCGAUGUCGGAUUAGCUAGUUGGUGAGGUAAAGGCUCACCAAGGCGACGAUCCGUAGCGGGUCUGAGAGGAUGAUCCGCCAUACUGGGACUGAGACACGGCCCAGACUCCUACGGGAGGCAGCAGUGGGGAAUUUUGGACAAUGGGCGCAAGCCUGAUCCAGCCAUGCCGCGUGCGGGAAGAAGGCCUCGGUUG
rnacentral:rRNA from 1 species